rnacentral:lncRNA from 1 species
AGCACCGUAGCACGGAGGUGAGCAACCUUCCCUUCUAUCACUUCUUGAAAUGAAGCUUGGAUCUUGAAGAAACGGAUUGGUUUGUGUUUGGAUCUCAAAAACCGUUUUUCUUCGUUUUCGAAUCAAAGAGGAAAAGUGGAGUUGCGAAAACCUUAAUCUAACUCUCACCCAACCUUGGGUUACUAGUUUUGAAGAAAAGAAAGCGACGAA